GUGGGGAAUCUUGCGCAAUGGGCGAAAGCCUGACGCAGCCAUGCCGCGUGAAUGAUGAAGGUCUUAGGAUUGUAAAAUUCUUUCACCGGGGACGAUAAUGACGGUACCCGGAGAAGAAGUCCCGGCUAACUUCGUGCCAGCAGCCGCGGUAAUACGAAGGGGGCUAGCGUUGCUCGGAAUUACUGGGCGUAAAGGGCGCGUAGGCGGACAGUUUAGUCAGAGGUGAAAGCCCAGGGCUCAACAUUGGAAUUGCCUUUGAUACUGGCUGUCUUGAGUACGGGAGAGGUGAGUGGAAUUCCGAGUGUAGAGGUGAAAUUCGUAGAUAUUCGGAGGAACACCAGUGGCGAAGGCGGCUCACUGGCUCGAUACUGACGCUGAGGUGCGAAAGCGUGGGGAGCAAACAGGAUUAGAAACCCUGGUAGUCC
rnacentral:rRNA from 1 species